AAACGCUUGAAGUCAGUCGCAUUGGCCAGGGAUCAACCUUGUCUUUUGACCUGGUGUACUUUCUGGCUCAUGGGUCAGCAUCAAUUUUGACCAGUGGAAAAAGAUCAAGGAAAUGUGGCAUCUUUGGAUGCGUUAUAGUCUUUGGUUGCAUACAUUGGUUGGGAUUGAGGAACUCAGCAUGCCGCAAGGCCGGGUUUUAACCACGUUUAUGCUUAGGAUGCUGGCAUAAUGGCUUUAAUCGA
rnacentral:rRNA from 1 species